UUAACUCAAAUUUGUAUGCAGUUGGAACAGCGCUUCUAGCGGCAAACAUAAGCAAACGUUCCAACUCCGUACAAAUUUGAGUUA
rnacentral:pre_miRNA from 1 species